rnacentral:rRNA from 1 species
AUUGAACGCUGGCGGCAGGCCUAACACAUGCAAGUCGAGCGGAGCGGCGGACGGGGAAGUGAGGCCUAUGACUGUGCCUGGUCGUGGGGGAGAACGACCGGAAACGGGCACUGAUACCGCAUACUAACGGAUGAGCCUAGGUCGGUUUAGCUAGUUCGGGGGGUAAAGGCCUACAAAGGCGACGAUCAGUAACUGGUCUGAGAGGAUGAGCAGUCACACUGGAACUGAGACACGGUCCAGAUUCCUACGGGAGGCAGCAGUGGGGAAUAUUGGACAAUGGGCGAAAGCCUGAUCCAGCCAUGCCGCGUGUGUGAAGAAGGUCUUCGGAUUGUAAAGCACUUUAAGUUGGGAGGCGUUACCAACAGAAUAAGCACCGGCUAACUUCGUGCCAGCCGCCGCGGUAAUAC